CCCCGCUCGCGCCGCCGCCUUCCUCCCCCGGCCCCCGCUCGCGCCGCCGCCUUCUUCCCCCGGCCCCCGCUCGCGCCGCCGCUUUCCUCCUCUGUCCCCCAUCGCGCCGCCGUCUUCCCGCACUUGCCACCUAUCGCGCCGCCGCCCUCCCCUGCCCCCCAGCUCGCGCCACGGCCCGCCCUCUCCUGCAGUCCGGUGACCAAGAUGCUUCAGUCCAAAUCCAUGUGCGGGGAGCUACGAGGAUGAAUUGCUUUUUGGUUCAACUCUGAUGCAUUGUCGAUGGGAUUACGCACAAGCCAUUUUUCAAUGCAACAAGAAGAUGUACGAAAACUUGUGCCGAUGUACCUUGUCCUGAAGCUCCUAUACGCACUUAUUUGCCCAGAUGUAUGAAUCUGACCGUAAGAACAAGAUUCGUCGAUGCUCCUCUUUCUCGGCUAGUGAGCCAACACGGGUGUCCUCAUGGCGGCCUCCCUCCGACGAUCUGAGGUGCCCUCAUGGCCUCCUCUGCUUCCUACCUAGCAGAUCACGGCGGCCCUCCCCCACUUGCUGCUCAUCAUCAUCGAUCUCAACAACGAUGAGGGGCCAAAAUAAACGUGAACCUCGUCGCCCUCUUCAUGGUGAUCCAAUUUUGAAAAGUUCACUCCAUCUGCAUGUGCAAGUUCACUGCCUCGCCGGCCUGCGGCUCCUCCAUGGACGCCUAGCUCCUCUACUAGAGCCACCGCGGCCCACGACAGCCCAAGGUGGCGGAGUUCGUUGCGUCCAUCAGUCCAACCCCAUGGCUUCAGGGUGGCCGAGUUUUGUCGCGGCCGUCAGUUCGGACACCUGCGUCACUGCGUGCGUUGCUACCACUGCCAUUUGCGUCACUGCAUGCUCUGUCACCGGCCUCAUGCGCACCGUGACCCCUGGCGCACUCCUUCCUCUCCGUGACGCUGCUCGUGCCCUCCCAGGCUUGAUCUCCUGCUGCAGCGAUGAGCUCCUGUACAUUGCUGAAGUUUCGUACCUGACGGCACCAGAACGAGGAUGCAGCAGCCAGGCUGGACCCCAGUUCGUGCCUCCCUCUCUCUCCCUUAGCUACAUCAUCACUGUUGCAGUGCUGCUGAUUGAUUUCUUGUAGUGAACUGUGAUGCUCUACUGACGGAGAGAAGUUUGGAAACUGCACAAAUAUUGGUAUUUUGGAGUUAUGAAUUUGGUGCUCCGUAGGUGCCUGCUGGUAUAUGCAAGUGCUUAAAAGUAUUUAGGUGGGUGGUUCGACACCGCUGCGUCCAGCAGUCCAACACCGCCGCCUGAGGCCGUUCACUGUCGCAAUGCCUACUUUCGCCCGCGCCUCCUUCCCGGUCAUCGUGAGGUGCUUGUUAGGACUUGGGCACGAGCUCGUCCAGCAGGGGUGCUGGCAGCCGUCCAAGUGGAGUGUUGAAAACAGUACGAGUAGAAUCACGGGUCGCGGCCACCAACUUCACCAAGUGCUGCACAUCCGUCCAAGUCGAGCACACACACAGGGAGAACACCAGCGCCUUUGCUUUGCACAUUGCUUGGUCAUGCAUAAUUGCUGAUGGAUGCAGCAAGUGUUUUAUUACUUUGAUCUUCUACAAGACUCAAUUUUGUCUCAGUUUUCAUGGAUGCUAGCCGGCAAGUGACAUAAUUUUGGUUGCCAUUUCUCUAUGUAGCAGAUUCCAUCCGCACAAAAAAUGCUACUGCAAAUUCUUCUAUGUAAAAUAUGAAUAAGGUUCAAUUCACAAAAACAUGUGGAAGUUCGCUUGGGAAAUUCUGCAGUCUAUUUGAUUAUGUCAGGAUGUACAGAAUGACGACUCUUUAUUGUGUGCCUUCAGCACAAUUUAAAAUUACUCAUUGACCGUAUGUCUAAUCGGUUUUUCUUUGUUUACAGAAAAACUAAUAUGUGAGGAUUAUCUCAGGUUUCUUUUUGAACUUGUAGCGUUACUGUACAUGAACUUGUACAUUACCUUGUUAUCAAUUUAUGUGUAUGUGUGUUGGUAACCACUGCUACUAGCUACUAGUUACCGAUCUGACCGUUGUAUUAGUGCAGCUGCUCUAUGUAAUUAGCCCCUUGUUGUGUGAAUCUUGUACUAUUUGCUAGCUUUGGCAUUGUAAAAAUACAACAAGUUCACAGCUAAAAAAGUUAUAAGUUCAACACAGCGUAAUAGAUUAGUUUUUUGUUAUGGAUA